rnacentral:rRNA from 1 species
UACGUAGGGGGCAAGCGUUAUCCGGAUUCACUGGGUGUAAAGGGAGCGUAGACGGCGACGCAAGUCUGGAGUGAAAGCCCGGGGCCCAACCCCGGGACUGCUCUGGAAACUGCGGCGCUGGAGUACGGGAGGGGCAGGCGGAAUUCCUGGUGUAGCGGUGAAAUGCGUAGAUAUCAGGAGGAACACCGGUGGCGAAGGCGGCCUGCUGGACUGCAACUGACGUUGAGGCCCGAAAGCGUGGGGAGCAAACAGG